UACAGAGGGGGCAAGCGUUGUUCGGAAUUACUGGGCGUAAAGGGCGCGUAGGCGGCCUGCUAAGUCGAACGUGAAAUCCCCGAGCUCAACUCGGGAACUGCGUCCGAUACUGGCAGGCUUGAAUCCGGGAGAGGGAUGCGGAAUUCCAGGUGUAGCGGUGAAAUGCGUAGAUAUUGGGAGGAACACCAGUGGCGAAGGCGGCUCACUGGACCGGAACUGACGCUGAGGCGCGAAAGCGUGGGGAGCAAACAGG
rnacentral:rRNA from 1 species